rnacentral:tRNA from 1 species
GCGUCUUUAGCUCAGUGGUAGAGCGUUUGCAUGACACGCAAAAGGUCGCAGGUUCGAUCCCUGCAAGACGCACCA